AGCUUCGUAGGUUAAUUGAUUUUUUUUUUUUUUAGGAUCAUAGGUUAAUUAAUUGGUAUACUUCUGAUGUUGGUAACUCAUAACCUUUAAAUAUAUAAAUAAAGUAAAUAAUAUAUUUACUAGAAUUUUUUUAUAUAAAAAAUCAUGAUUUAUCCGUUACAAUUAUUUUCCUUUUAGAAAGAGUAAAAAUAAGAGCAAAAUACGCGUCAACGCAUAAAAGUGCUUUGAAAAAAGAAGUAAUAAAUAUUUUUCUCUUGUACCUCGAUAUUUCCGUCGAAACGGUAUAAAAUGUACUCCAACUCGUGACAUUUACAUAUAGAAAAAGAAAAGUAGAAAGUAAGUUUUUCCUCGAUAUUUCCGUCGAAGCAUAUAUAAAAUAUGCAUGACUGUUGGAAGAAAAAAGAAAAAAUAAAUAAAGAUAAAUGAGUAGUAGAAAGCUUUGUAGCUAUAAGUGUUUUCUUUUUUCUAUGUUGAUGAUGAGGGAAUUGCCAAAAUGUUAUGGAUACAGCUAAAUGAGGUUAUUGUGGCGUUCACCGAAAAUUAUGGUUUCACAAUCAAAUAUCAAUCUAGUGAAGCAAAGAAUAUUUAAGAAGGCGACUGAAGCGGAGCCGGUCACGCUCUCUCUCUGACAACCGACAACUGUCAUGCUCCCACUUGAUUAUCCCAAACAUAUUAUUAUUAUUAUUAUU